GUUUUUUUUUUCUCGACAGUGCAAUCGCUCUGGCAGCUGCUUAGGUGGCUCCAAACUGGUCAGUUCGACCUCUCCUGCUUCAUCUUCGAGAAGUCUUUAAGUCAUUCGGUGGCUUUUUUUCCCGACAGUAUCAUGACUUAGGGUGAUGCAGUGCAAGAUAUGCAGAUUUGAACACCCUGCCCAGGAGGUCC